rnacentral:sRNA from 14 species
ACUAGGCAUGGUAGUGCAUCCCUGUAGUCCUAGUUACUCAAGAGGCUGAGGCAGGAGGAUUGCCCCAGUCCCGAAGUUCUAGGCUUAUAGUGUACUGUGCAGAUCAGAUGUCCACAAUAAGUUCAGCAUGAAUAAGGAUGGCAAUCUCCAGGGAACAGGGGAGCUACCACUUUUCAUAAGGGAAGGAUGAAUUGCUGGGUCAGAAAUGGAGUAGAUCAAACCUCUCGUGCUGAUCAGUAGUUGGAUGAUGUUUUCCAGGUUGGGUAGCAUAGUGAUACUCCUGCUCU